rnacentral:rRNA from 1 species
AUUGAACGCUGGCGGCAUGCUUUACACAUGCAAGUCGAACGGUAACAGGCCGCAAGGUGCUGACGAGUGGCGAACGGGUGAGUAAUGCAUCGGAACGUGCCCAGUCGUGGGGGAUAACGCAGCGAAAGCUGCGCUAAUACCGCAUACGAUCUAUGGAUGAAAGCGGGGGACCGUAAGGCCUCGCGCGAUUGGAGCGGCCGAUGUCAGAUUAGGUAGUUGGUGGGGUAAAGGCUCACCAAGCCAACGAUCUGUAGCUGGUCUGAGAGGACGACCAGCCACACUGGGACUGCGACACGGCCCAGACUCCUACGGGAGGCAGCAGUGGGGAAUUUUGGACAAUGGGCGCAAGCCUGAUCCAGCAAUGCCGCGUGCAGGAAGAGGGCCUUCGGGUUGUAACCUGCUUUUGUACGGAACGAAACGGUCCUGGUUAAUACCUGGGGCUAAUGACGGUACCGUAAGAAUAAGCACCGGCUAACUACGUGCCAGCCGCCGCCGUAAGAC